CUCUCUUGUUUUGUUUUCGAAUUUCGAAAACGCGUUCGAAUGUGUUCGUUCGGUGUAUUUAGUGGAAAUUUUGAAUCAACAAAACAAAAUUGGUGGUUAUUAUCGAUUAAUUAUUCAACAAUCAGUCUUUGAACAAUAAUCAGUUCCGGUUUUUUUUUCGUCUGCUGCUGUAUUUUCUGUUUUUAUCACACAGGUUAUAAACAAGGAAAAAUUAAAAUUCAUUCCAUUGUCCAUUCAAAGCAAUAAAUUAGUAGUUAUGUCAUCAUUUUGCUAUUUUUUUAUAUUCGAUAAGAAUGGAAAAUGUUUAUUACAAUUGAAACAAGCAAAUAAAUCAAAAUUUUUUACACAAUCAUCUGGCGAUUGUAUGGUGGCAGUUUCCAACGAUUCAUGCGAUGAAGAAUAUCAUCAAAUUCUUUAUGGUCUAGUUCAUUCAUUGAAAGCAUUCAUUAAACGUUUCAAUAUUCCACCGUACCAUAAUUCACAGGAUGAUGAUUAUUUCUAUUUUCGAAAUUCUUCAUAUCAACUAAUCUACUAUGAAUCAUUAACACAAAUUAAAUUCAUCAUUAUCAUUCCAUUGAUGAGAUUGACGAAUGAAAAAAAUCCAAUCAUUAAUUAUCGAAAAUUGAUACAAGAAUUUUAUCAAAAAAUUCAUAUAAAACGUUUCCUUCGUUUGAAUAAUCAACCAAAAUGUGAUUAUGAAUCUAGUGAAUUUCGAAAAGAAUUAUCAAUGUUUAUGAAGGAAAAAUUGAAAAUUUUCAAAUAAAUAAAUAAAAAAAAAACAAAAAAAUCGUUAAACACGUCAUCUAUCGUAUUCAAUUUAAACUAGUACUCGCAUUGGCUAAAAAAAAAUAUUGCACGCGAAUCCAUCAUUCAUGCAUGCAAAGAGAACGAGCGAGAGAGAGAGGAAUGAAAAAAAAUCCUCGACACAUCAACACGACGACGACGAUGAUGAUGAAAA